rnacentral:rRNA from 1 species
GUGCCAGCCGCCGCGGUAAUACCGGCAGCACGAGUGAUGGCCGAUCUUAUUGGGCCUAAAGCGUCCGUAGCCGGCCGAGCAAGUUCGUCGGGAAGUCCACCAGCUCAACUGGUGGGCGUCCGGCGAAAACUGUUCGGCUUGGGGCCGGAAGACCCAAGGGGUACGUCCGGGGUAGGAGUGAAAUCCCGUAAUCCCGGACGGACCGCCGAUGGCGAAAGCACCUUGGGAAGACGGACCCGACGGUGAGGGACGAAAGCUGGGGUCUCGAACCGGAUUAGAUACCCCAGUAGUCC